UACGUGGGGUGCGAGCGUUACUCGGAAUUACUGGGCGUAAAGCGUGCGCAGGCGGCUUUGCAAGCCAGAUGUGAAAUCCCCGGGCUCAACCUGGGAACUGCAUUUGUGACUGCAAGGCUGGAGUGCGGCAGAGGGGGAUGGAAUUCCGCGUGUAGCAGUGAAAUGCGUAGAUAUGCGGAGGAACACCGAUGGCGAAGGCAAUCCCCUGGGCCUGCACUGACGCUCAUGCACGAAAGCGUGGGGAGCAAACAGG
rnacentral:rRNA from 1 species